AAUAUAUUGCACUGUCAUAUAAUCAUACAACAGUUUCAUCAUUCGGUAAAUUUUUUUCAAUACUUCUGUUCCAAAAGUCUUGAAAAAAAAAAAGAAAAUUAUGUAGUUGGCAUAUUAGCACAAAUUUUGAAAAAAAUCUACAUUAUUGUAAAGAAUGCUUAAUAUUAUAAAAAAAAUAAUGAUUAAUAGUAAUAUAUCUGCUUUAUUAAAUAAUAGCUCAAUUAUAGUAACUACCAAUUAUGUCACCGGUGAUUUAGGAUAAGGGAGCAUCCUUAAACUGCAUCAUGCUAUUUUGAAUAACCUCAUCGCUCCCCUUCAAAUUCCUAACUUGAUCCCUUGAACAGAGGCAUACCAAAAAUUGAGUGGACCUGUAUGCAGGCAAAGUUGAUGGGGGCCCCAUUUAGAACCUUUAAUUGCUUCAUGCAUAAGAUUGCCAAGUUAAUGCUCUUCACACUAAAUCUAGUUCUUGUUUAUUGUUGUUGUUGCAAAAAGUUUCCACACAGUGCUGUUCCAAUUUUUAGUGCAGUUUUACUUAAGAUUAAUUUAGUUAGUUUUCAAAACAAAUAUAUUGGGUGGCCAUAAAAUGAUGAGGUGUUCAGAGCCCUCUAUGCAUCAUGUAUUGGAUGAAAUGCAACAAAAUUCGGUGAUCGUAGACAGUGGACUAUGCAGUU
rnacentral:lncRNA from 1 species